UUCAUUUUCCUUAUAUGUGUAGUGGAAUGCAAAAAUGGGGCUUCUUGACGUUGACGUCAUUAUCGAGAAAAUGCGAGAUCUUUGACGCCAUUUUUUCCUCAUUAUUUUUCCGUUCAUCUGGCAGUAAAACAGCGCUUAAUUAUAUAAUAAAUGACUUGUCAGCACAUGGGGUCCUGAUUCAUACAGAGUAAUCAACGGCAAAAAUAAUUUGCUACCGUUCAUCCUAUGACAGCAAGUAAAAUUAUCACGGGAAAAGAUUUUUACGAGGACAACUGAUUACGUCAUCUGACAUUGAUUGUUGAUGAAAUAUUGGUGAAUUGAUUCGAUGUUUUUCGGUGUUUUAAAGAAUAUUUUACACUGACAACGUCUGUUUUGACAAAAAUUAUAUAUAACUGGAUUAUUCGGGUUAGGCACUUCACCAUGCACUCUUGAUGUAAAGUACUCCAACCCUUGGGAUUAUGCCCAACAAGUGCACUUUUCCCAUCAUUCUCAACCGGGUGGUCCAAUAUGUUUUAGGACACCAAGGAAGUUUCAUGUGUUUGGUGUUUGUGUAGAGGGAUCAGGACUUCAUGGAAGUGUCAGUCUCAACAUGCUUGGUACUUUUAUAUCUGGAAAGUGAAAAACUAUGCAACAGGUUGCCUAAGUGUACUGUCCUGAAGUCAUCAAGAUAUGGGCACAAUAUCCUACAGCUUAUAGAUGAUCCAGAAAAUCCCUAGGAAGUCAUUUCUUAAGUUAAGCCCUCAAACUGUUAUCCAAAUACCACCAUUUUUGUGCAAGUGCAAUGGAGCCAUGUGUUAUAACAUGUAAAGAAUAUAUUAAUUCUGUGGAGGUAAAAAUGUAUUUACUGAAACAAUUGCCUCCCAGAGGUCUUUUAUCUGAAGUACAGUAAUGAUGCAGCAAGACAUUAGUAUCUAUUUGAACAAAUUGGGCAGUUCUUCAAAUCUGACAUGGCUAAAAUACUGUGUGGCCAAAACCAGUUAUCUCGAAAACAGAAACAAAGUUGGAGAUUGACAAAAUGUGAAAAAGGUGGAAAGAGAAAGAGCAGUAUUUUACUCUUGAGUAUAAUUGGAGUUCUUAUAACAUAGUGGUCAUGUAUGGACUGUCAUUAUUUUUAUCAUUUCAAAUAUAGCUUAUGAUACAAGUAGAUGCUUCAUAAGAUAAGACUGCAAGUGUGUUGCAUAACUGGUGCUCUAAGGACUAAUGCUAUAUUAACAAGUAUGUGGAUCAUUGAUGCAUAGAUAUUAAUUAAUGGCUGCCUAUAUUAUUUUUGGAUGCCAGUUUACCAGUUACUAAUUUCCAUCAUUUUUACAAAAUGUUUAUUAGAUUAAGUUUAGUGUAAUACAACAUUUGUCAUUUUACUCUAAGUUAUAGAAUUCUAUUGAACCUAUGCAUGUUAUGAAUUGAUCAACUGUCAACUGAUCUUAAGCUUUGAUCUAGAUUGAAAAUGACUGUAUGAAAAUGUAAAGUAACAUUAAGCUUCAGUACUUGUUGUCAAAUUUUAAACAUUUUAUAGUAACUGUUGUAGAAUAUGAAAAAUACUUUAUCUAUAACAAUGAUAGGUCAGUUGAAUUUUUAUGUUGAUAUUAGUGUAGAAUCACAUUGUAAAUUAUCACCAAUCCUUAAAAUUGUUAAAAGAAGCAGCAAAAUCAAGAAUAUUCAAUGGUAGCUAGGCAACCAAAUGAACCAAUAUUCCCUUCAGUUGGGAAGGAUUUUAAACAGAUGCAUCAUAAUAAAAAUACUUUAUAUGUUUGAUCACAUUGUAACUCUAUAAUUGAAAAAUAAUCAUCACUAAGUUAUAAAAUAUCAAAAUAUAGAACCUUAAAUGUACCUGAAAAUAAAUGUUGUGAACAUGAUAUUAGAAGUAUCAUUUUUAAUUUAUAUUAUUAAGGAAUGGUGAGGCAGGCUGUUCUCUGAAUACCUUAUUAAUUUCAGUUACACAUUAUUUGUGGUAUUGUUUUCAUUUUUAGCUCACCUGACCACGAAGUGGUCAAGGUGAGGUAUAGUGAUGGGGCUAUGUCCGGCGUCGUGCGUCGUCAACAAUUGGGUUGUUAACAGUCUAGCAGUCACAGUUUUGAUUGGAUCAUCAUCAAACUUUGUCAGAAUGUGUGUCUCAAUGAAAUACAGAUCAAGUUCGAAGAUGGGUUAUCUCGGGUCAAAAACUAGGUCACAGGAGCUAAAAAUAGAAAAACCUUGUUAACACUCUAGAGGCUGCAGUUUUCAUCCAAAUAUUCUGGAAAUUUGUCAGGAAGGUUGUUUUAUUGAUAUCUAGGUCAAGUUCGAAGAUGGGUCAUCUCCGGUCAAAAACUAGGUCACAGGAGCUAAAAAUAGAAAAAGCUUGUUAACACUCUAAUAAUUGGGUUGUUAACAGUCUAGCAGUCACAGUUUUGAUUUGAUCAUCAUCAAACUUUGUCAGAAUGUUUGUCUCAAAGAAAUACAGAUCGAGUUCGAAGAUGGGUUAUCUCGGGUCAAAAACUAGGUCACUGGAGUUAAAAAUAGAAAAAGCUUGUUUAUACUCUAGAGGCUGCAGUUUUCAUCCAAAUAUUCUGGAAAUUUGUCAGAAAGGUUGUUUUAAUGAUAUCUAGGUCAAGUUCGAAGAUGGGUCAUCUCCGGUCAAAAACUAGGUCACAGGAGCUAAAAAUAGAAAAAGCUUGUUAACACUCUAGUGGCUGCAGUUUUCAUCCAAAUAUUCUUGAAAUUU